GAUGAACGCUGGCGGCGUGCCUAACACAUGCAAGUCGAGCGAUCUUCUUCGGAAGAGAGCGGCGGACGGGUGAGUAACGCGUGGGUAACCUGCCCUGUACACACGGAUAACAUACCGAAAGGUAUGCUAAUACGGGAUAAUAUGCUUUUAUCGCAUGGUAGAAGUAUCAAAGCUCCGGCGGUACAGGAUGGACCCGCGUCUGAUUAGCUAGUUGGUAAGGUAACGGCUUACCAAGGCGACGAUCAGUAGCCGACCUGAGAGGGUGAUCGGCCACAUUGGAACUGAGACACGGUCCAAACUCCUACGGGAGGCAGCAGUGGGGAAUAUUGCACAAUGGGCGAAAGCCUGAUGCAGCAACGCCGCGUGAGCGAUGAAGGCCUUCGGGUCGUAAAGCUCUGUCCUCAAGGAAGAUAAUGACGGUACUUGAGGAGGAAGCCCCGGCUAACUACGUGCCAGCAGCCGCCGUAACAC
rnacentral:rRNA from 1 species